CCUAUUACCAGUAUAGGUUAAACAAUUAUUUAUAAGUCAGUGAUAUUAUUUAUAAAUGUUCUAUAACAUUGUGUACUGACUUAAUACUUCGUAAAAAAAUAAGCUCAACAAUCAUUCUUUGUUUUAGAAUUCAUCCAUUUCAAAUGAUUCUUUGAAAAGGAGCCAUUAUCUCGGUUCACUUAUUGUCAGGGUUUAGGAACUGUAGCUAAAAGCAGUGACGAAAUUCGUUUACACUCUUAAAUUGUGCUCAGUUACAUUGAACACCUGCCGUAACUGAAUGAUAGCUUUACAUUGAUAAAUAAGAAGUAAUUAUAUCCAAAUACUAUUGCAAGGGGUAUUUUUUUUACAAAAGUGUAUAGCCCUUCACGCAAUUCAUGAUAGUUUAAAAACUCAUGUCUUGAAUGACAUUAUCUUUGAUCAAGUAUACGUUCUAAGCAUUAGGAAUGAUAUUGUUUAUAUUGUUUCAUCCUGCUACCUGUUUGCAUGUUUUUGUUCGUUUAUCAAAUAUACGCAUGUACUUUGCUUAUCAAUAUCAUGUCCACGUGUUUGUGAAUGGAGGAUAAAGAUACUGUAAUAAUGUUUCAAAGAUGAAUAUCGUUAAACACGUUGAUUAAAUAUUAACAUAUUUUUAAAUCACAUUUAUGAGAGUUAGGCGAAGAUUUUGUGAUGGAUUUUAUAUUUGCUACAAUAGGGGAGGUUACUGCGUAGGAGACGAACAUUUUCUUAAACCGGUUUAGCAUCAAAUCAAGUAGGACCUGCUCCGGUGACCUCAGACGAACAUUCGUGUAAAAAAUGGAUUGAAAUGGACAAUCAUAAAAUUUUGGGCUAUGGACUUAUUGAAGACAACUGUAUGGAGAUAAACAGAAACACAGAGGUGCUAUACAUUCUGAUGGAAAAGACAACAAAAGCAUCUCCCAUCAUUUUGGCGUGGCUCAGAUCAAGAGGAGAAAUUUAAAAAAGGUGAUGGUUGGGCACACACAAGAAGACAUAGAUCACAGGCGUAUAGCAUAUGAGUAGACAGGAGUUUCACACUCUGCCAGACUUACUUCCUCAGACGAGCAGAUUUAGGCUUCUCAAGAUCACGCACUGCACACCAAGACAUAGUCUUUGACUACAACAAGGCCUUAGGGGAUGAAAGUACAGAGAGGUCCAAUUGAAAUCAAUUCUGUGCUGCAUCAUUUCUUUAUUCUAGAGGUUGAUGGACAUGAUUUAUGGCAUCAAUUGUGCAGUUUGUCAACUAACUAUCAACACAGCAGUCUUGUUCACCAGCUGCGCAACUUGAGCUUUUAGCUUUAUUGCUUGAAGCCACUGUAUAAGAGGAGGGAAGGUGCAGACUCAUCAAAAAGUCUCAAGGUUGAAACUAGGAAGAGAAGUUUGUCAAGAGUGUGAAUAUUUGCUUUGAAAACAAUUGUUACAAUGAUUUGGUUUCCUUUGAAACUUGAUACAUACUAUGUGUAUGUUGAAUGAAUUGAGAUGCUUAAAUAAAGAACCACUAUUCAAAUAUCAGGAAACUGCAUUUUUCAUACUAAAUUGGUAAAUGAUGUCACCAUUUCCUGUAUGUAUUUAGAUAAGAUAUGUUUCCACAAGUAAUAUUUUUAGGGACUAUUUCUCAACGUAAUGAAAUAGAUUAAAUUUGUACAGCGUUAUAUGAGCUUAAUAUGUGUUUUCUGUUUCCUUAAAAUUGAUGAAAAAUUGUCAGAAGGUAAUGAGACCAGUAUCCAUUACUGCAAUCAUACAAUAAAAAAUACAGGGACAAGCCCACUGCUCAUAUAAUAUGAUUAAACCUUGUUUAGGGGCAUGAGGCAAACAGAGUUACUUUCAAAUGUUAAAGAUGCACUCUCACACUUUGGAUGUUUUGACAACUGUUUUCAUUUUUAGCUCUACUGGCCAAAGGCCAGAAGAGCUCAUGCGAUGGUAAUGUGUACGUAGUAUGUGCGUCUGUAAACAAUCCUCGUUUACAUGAUACAGCCUACAGUUCCUUUCGAAAACCAGCCAGAUCCGCCCAUGUAUGUAUUAUGCCCCACAUUUUUGCUACAUAAAUUAAAUAUAAAUUUAUGUAAAAAAAUGAUAAUUGGAAUUACAAAUAUUUAUUUUUAUGUGGAUAAUAUGUGUAUGUUGUUAAAUAACUCAGAAUUACUUAUUUAGAUAUAGUUUAAGAAUAACUAUUACGACUAAAACUCCUUUUCGAACUUUGCAUGUCUAUACAUCAUGUAAACAUAUUAAUGCCUGCAGCCUGUAUAAUAUUUUUGGCAGUUUAUAAAUAUCUUUUUAGAUUCUUAACUUGUUUUUAAGUUUAAUAAUUUGGCCACCUUAGGCUAAGUGGUUUCCUUUAAUUACCUUAAUUGAUGUCAACCUAUCAUAUAUUUUUCUUCAAAACAGUAGCACAAUCCCUCAGGCUACUCAGCUUCAAUUUUAGAAUUUUUGUACUGACAAGUUAAUGAUUUAAUGAUGCUUAUCAAAUCUGAGAUCUGUAUCAUAUUGUUAAAAACUUAGUAUUUAAGAUGAAGCCUGUGUCCUGAAAAUCAUAAAGGACUUGAUUUUUAAACAAACGUCAUCUUCAUUAUAAAUUUAUGUAAAAAAAUGAUAAUUGGAAUUACAAAUAUUUAUUUUUAUGUGGAUAAUAUGUGUAUGUUGUUAAAUAACUCAGAAUUACUUAUUUAGAUAUAGUUUAAGAAUAACUAUUACGACUAAAACUCCUUUUCGAACUUUGCAUGUCUAUACAUCAAGUAAACAUAUUAAUGCCUGCAGCAUGUAUAAUAUUUUUGGCAGUUUAUAAAUAUCUUUUUAGAUUCUUAACUUGUUUUUAAGUUUAAUAAUUUGGCCACCUUAGGCUAAGUGGUUUCCUUUAAUUACCUUAAUUGAUUUCAACCUAUCAUAUAUUUUUCUUCAAAACAGUAGCACAAUCCCUCAGGCUACUCAGCUUCAAUUUUAGAAUUUUUGUACUGACAAGUUAAUGAUUUAAUGAUGCUUAUCAAAUCUGAGAUCUGUAUCAUAUUGUUAAAAACUUAGUAUUUAAGAUGAAGCCUGUGUCCUGAAAAUCAUAAAGGACUUGAUUUUUAAACAAACGUCAUCUUCAUUAUUCAGGUAUGUUGUCAUUAUUUUUAUAUAUUACUUUUUGUGUUUAACUCAAUUUAUUUUAUCAAAGAACUUUUAAAUAUAAUAGUUUUAAUAUUUUGUUAAUUUAUUGUUAAAACAUUUAGAAGUUAUAUUCAUAUAAUAAGAAGUUUGAAUUAUGUGGAAAUUAUGUUAUUCAAUUAUUUGUCUUAAAAUAUGAACUCAUUUAGAAAUGUACAGAUGUUAUUUCUGUUUGCAAGUAUUUAUAAAGUUCAUUUUAUUAAAGUUAUUAAACAAACAAUUAUUAAAUUAAACUAAUUGUAAUAUGAAAUGUUGUCAACCAGUUAACCUUUCACAUGCAUUUUUAAAAGCGAGUUGUAUGCUAAUUUCCCCAAAUUAGUUUAAGUAUUUUUAACAUCUAUUUGUACUUUGUGUUUAUUGAUAUAUAUAUAUAUAUAUAUAUAUAUAUAUAUGUGUGUGUUUGCUUUCAAAAUAAAUAAAGGACUUGAUUUUCAAAUAAACCUCAUCUUCAUUAUUCAGCUCAGUCAGUGAAGCUCCCAUUUUCGGGAACAAUCUCCUCAACGAAUCAACAACUCCCGCGACCUCCUAUUUGACAUACUCUCGACAGCCGCACUAAGCGCGUCCCGGCCGGCAUAAAAUAUGCCUAGUUUAUGGGCCUUGAUAGUAUACAAAAAUCAGUGUGUCAGUAGGCAAUUGCUCGUUAACAUGAUACAGCCUUUUUGAUUGUAUCUCAAUGAAACUUGUACAGUAUCUACAUAUCCAUAUGAGCUCGGUUCCUUUCGAAAAUCAGCCAGAUCCGCCCAUGCAUGCCAAGAUUAUGGGCCUUGAUAAUAAAAAAAAAUAGUGUGUCAGUAAACAAUUGCUCGGUAACACGAUACAGUCUUCAGUUUUGAUUGUAUCUUGAUGAAACUUGUCCAGUAUAUCCAUUAGAGCUCAGUUCCUUUCAAAAACCUGAUCUGCCCAUGUUUCCUGGAUUAUUGGCCUUGAAAUUAUUAGAUGAUGGGCCUUGAUAGUAUAAAAAAUGCUAUUUUGUAAUAAAUGCUUGCGAAUAUGAUACAGUCUUCAGUUUUGAGUAUUCAGAUACCCAUAAGGGGUUGGUUCUUUUCGAAAACAGUGAUGUUGACCACACAAACCCAGCCAGUAGAGCAUUGGCCCUUUUGGGCCUCUUGUUUGUUUUGGAUUGGUACCAUCCAGUCUUUGCGAAAAAUGCAUGGAAACCAGUAAUAUAAGACUACUGACAAAAAAUUCAAUUGCAGACUUUUUUAUUUAAGUUAAAACAUUGAUGUAUUAUGCACUUUUCUUAAACCGUUAGUAACAUUAAUCUUCGAAGGAAAUAUGAAAUCUGGGAUUUGAUGUUUUGUCAGCAAUCUUUUACCAUUGGUUUGCUGAUAUUUACGCAAAAAUUUGCUCAUUCCAAGACAAAACAAAAGUUGUUAAAACGGUAUAUCUGUGAGAAUGCAGCUCUAAAUGUUUUGGCAAACAUGUUUUUGAUUUGGCAGCACAAUCAAUCUUGAGCAUUGCUUGAUUUUACUGCUGUAUUAGAAAUUACAGGGGUAAUGGGGGAUUUUUUUAGUGUUUUUAUUGCUUUUUGUGAUCCAUACAGUCAUACUUCAUUCCCCAGGGCACAACUUACAAAUAGACAGAACAGGAAAAUGGUCAUUUUAAAAGGUCAAGGACAAUGCAUUUUAACAAUCAUAUUGUUCAUGGCUUGUAUUUUUGGUAUAUUUUGUUGCAUAUAUGCUAUAAAAAAAGUUGAAAAUAACUUCAUAGUUGAAAUGAUGGCUUUGAAUGGUUUUGUCAGUUGAGAAACAGCACUAUUAAGAAAUAUGUUAAUGGUACUUUAUUAUUUUAAUCAAUUUUAGAUAUUUGUAUGAAAAUUAGUAUCUUAUUUUGUACAUGAGACCUUUUAAACAGUUAUUUAUAAUUUAACAAUGUGUAAAUGAUCAAAACUUAAAGCUGCACUUUCACAGAUUGUCAUUUUAGACACUUUAAAAAAUUUGUCUCAAAAGCUGAUUUGGUUAUCAUUCCUUUAAUUCAGUCAUAUUAGAUAAUUCACAAUAGAACCAAUCAAAAAUGUUUGGUAAGACUGCCGAAAAGUUCAUUUACAUUAAAUUGUUCGUAAUGCUACUAUACCCAUAAAACAUCAUUUUAGCCAUAAAUAUGACAAAAUGCAAUCUGAUCUUAUUUCAGAAGUCUUAUAUCACUUAAAAUUGGGUCUAUGCAAAAAAUGGUCUAUUUAUAGACCAACAAUAAAAGAGUGCCGGUAGUCAAAACGAUCAAUUAGUGAGAUUGCAGCUUUAAAUACACCUUUUUAAGUCCGCUGUAAAAUUCCAAUGGUUUGCCUCAAUCUUUAACGCUAGCAUACUGUUUAAUUGACAGCCAUACUUUUUGUUUAAAAGUGUCAUGAUAUGUUUGUACAAUGUGUUUAUAUAAUUCAUUAAAGAAGUCAAAACAAAUUUGUUUAUCUUGUAAUUUGUUUUCUAUUAUUUAAAUGACCCAGACGAAAAUUGGGAACGUCAGUGCUAGUUCUUUUACUGCUAAUAUUCAAUGAAGUUUCUAUUGGU